GUUUUGUCAGAGCGGUUCUUCUUCUUCUUCGUCUUCUUCCUUUUU
rnacentral:sRNA from 1 species